rnacentral:rRNA from 1 species
AUACGGAGGGUGCAAGCGUUAAUCGGAAUUACUGGGCGUAAAGCGUGCGUAGGUGGUUUGUUAAGUUAGAUGUGAAAGCCCCGGGCUCAACCUGGGAACUGCAUUUGAAACUGGCAUACUAGAGUAUAGGAGAGGAAAGUGGAAUUUCAGGUGUAGCGGUGAAAUGCGUAGAUAUCUGAAGGAACAUCAAUGGCGAAGGCAGCUUUCUGGACUAAUACUGACACUGAGGUACGAAGGCGUGGGUAGCAAACAGGAUUAGAUACCCCAGUAGUCC